rnacentral:tRNA from 1 species
GGGAUUGUGGCUCAGUAAUAGAGCACUUGCCUAGCAUGUAUGAGGCACUGGGUUCAAUUCUCAGCACCA